rnacentral:misc_RNA from 1 species
AACUUUUAGCAAUGGAUCUCUUGGCUCUCGCAUCGAUGAAGAACGCAGCGAAAUGCGAUACGUAAUGUGAAUUGCAGAAUUCAGUGAAUCAUCCAAUCUUUGAACGCACCUUGCGCCCCUUUGGAUUCCGAUGUACACACCCGUUUGAGUGUCGUGAAAAUCUCAACCUCCUCGGGUUCUUAUGGACACCGAAGGAGGCUGGGACUUUGGGGGCCUUUGCUGGCGUCUCUCGCCAGCUCCUCUCAAAUGAAUUAGUGGGGUCCUCUUUGCCGAUCCUCGACAUGUGAUAAGAUGUUUCCAUGUCUUGGUUUAUGGCUCUGUUGCUUUUGGGACCCGCUUCUAACCGUCUCAACGAGACAACGUUCGAGCGUGUCGAACACUCUUGAACCCACGAACCCUUGACCUCAAAUCGGGUGAGACUACCCGCUGAACUUAAGCAUAUCAAUAAGCGGAGGCU